rnacentral:rRNA from 1 species
CGGCACGCGUGCCGUCCUGAGGGUACCCGGAGAAAAAGCAUCGGCUAACUCCGUGCCAGCAGCCGCGGUAAUACGGAGGAUGCGAGCGUUAUCCGGAUUUAUUGGGUUUAAAGGGUGCGUAGGCGGGAUGCCAAGUCAGCGGUCAAAUACGGGGGCUCAACCUGCGUCCGCCGUUGAAACUGGCGUUCUUGAGUGGGCGAGAAGUACGCGGAAUGCGUGGUGUAGCGGUGAAAUGCAUAGAUAUCACGCAGAACCCCGAUUGCGAAGGCAGCGUACCGGCGCCCGACUGACGCUGAAGCACGAAAGCGUGGGUAUCGAACAGGAUUAGAUACCCUGGUAGUCCACGCAGUAAACGAUGAACACUAAUUGUCCGGCGGGAUUAUCCGCUGGGUGAUACAGCGAAAGCGUUAAGUGUUCCACCUGGGGAGUACGCCGGCAACGGUGAAACUCAAAGGAAUUGACGGGGGCCCGCACAAGCGGAGGAACAUGUGGUUUAAUUCGAUGAUACGCGAGGAACCUUACCCGGGCUCAAACGCAACGCGGACAUACCGGAAACGGGAUGGCCAGCAAUGGCGCGUUGCGAGGUGCUGCAUGGUUGUCGUCAGCUCGUGCCGUGAGGUGUCGGCUUAAGUGCCAUAACGAGCGCAACCC